rnacentral:rRNA from 1 species
UAAAGCCCCUUCGGGGGUGUAUAAAGCGGCGAACGGGUGAGUAACAGGUGGAUAAUCUGCCUCUCGGAGGGGGACAACGGCUGGAAACGGCCGCUAAUACCGCAUACGAUUGCCGAUCUCAUGGGUUGGCAAGGAAAGGAGCCCUUAAAGCUCCGCCGAGAGAUGAGUCCGCCCCCCAUUAGCUAGUUGGUGGGAUAAUAGCCCCCCAAGGCGACGAUGGGUAGCCGAACUGAGAGGUUGAUCGGCCACACUGGAACUGAGAUACGGUCCAGACACCUACGGGUGGCAGCAGUAGGGAAUAUUGCGCAAUGGGCGAAAGCCUGACGCAGCCAUGCCGCGUGGAUGAUGAAGGCCUUCGGGUCGUAAAGUCCUUUUCUGAGGGAAGAACAUCCCGGGGAGGAAAUGCUCCGGGCUUGACGGUACCUCAGGAAUAAGCAACGGCUAACUCCGUGCCAGCAGCCGCGGUAAUACGGAGGUUGCAAGCGUUGUUCGGAAUUACUGGGCGUAAAGGGAGCGCAGGCGGCUUGGUCCGUCUAAAGUGAAAGCCCGGGGCUUAACCUCGGAAGUGCUUUGGAUACAGCCAGGCUUGAGUGCGCGAGAGGAGAGCGGAAUUCCAGGUGUAGCGGUGAAAUGCGUGGAUAUCUGGAGGAACACCGGUGGCGAAAGCGGCUCUCUGGCGCGAUACUGACGCUGAGGCUCGAAAGCGUGGGGAGCGAACGGGAUUAGAUACCCCGGUAGUCCACGCCGUAAACGUUGUGCACUAGGUGUGGGAGGUAUCGACCCCUUCCGUGCCGCAGCUAA